UGUUUGGGAAUGCAGCUCGAAAUGGGUGGUAAGUUUCAUCCAAAGCUAAAUAUAGGCGAGAGACCGAUAGCGAACAAGUACCGUGAGGGAAAGAUGAAAAGAACUUUGAAAAGAGAGUGAAAAAGUACUUGAAAUUGCUAAGAGGGAAGCGCUGGGAAGCAGUAACGUGUAAAAAACAUUUUGCCUAUCUAGUAGUAUUCUCUUAGGAUAUGUAUAUGGGUAACCUAUAUGUGUUGUAGGAGAGUAUUAAUGGGUGGGUCCUGUGUUUUUUACUGGUCAGAAUCAGUUCGAAUUGUGGGAGAAAAUUAGGAGAAAGGUAGGAUAGGGGCAACUUUAUCUGUUAUAGACUUCUAACCAUUACCAUGAUUUGGACUGAGGAAGUAGUGAUGCGCCACAUGGCGUGUCUUCCUGUUCCUCUCUUUGCUUUUGGAUUGAAGGUCAAUGACCUGCUGUCUAAAUGGUAAGGGGAUGUGUGCGGUGAAGAUUUCUGCAUCACCACGAUUCUGACAAAAUGCUUCUCAUCGACCCGUCUUGAAACACGGACC
rnacentral:rRNA from 1 species